AACCUGCUGCCAAAACCUGGCAGAGACAGCAAAGAAGAAAACUUAAGAUCAAUAUCCUUGAUGAGAAUAGAUCCAAAAUUCCUCAACAAAAUAUUAUCAAACUGAAUUCAGCAGCACAAUGUGAGUCUAA